GAUGAACGCUGGCGGCGUGCCUAAUACAUGGGCAAGUCGAGCGAACGGACGAGAAGCUUGCUUCUCUGAUGUUAGCGGCGGACGGGUGAGUAACACGUGGAUAACCUACCUAUAAGACUGGGAUAACUUCGGGAAACCGGAGCUAAUACCGGAUAAUAUUUUGAACCGCAUGGUUCAAAAGUGAAAGACGGUCUUGCUGUCACUUAUAGAUGGAUCCGCGCUGCAUUAGCUAGUUGGUAAGGUAACGGCUUACCAAGGCAACGAUGCAUAGCCGACCUGAGAGGGUGAUCGGCCACACUGGAACUGAGACACGGUCCAGACUCCUACGGGAGGCAGCAGUAGGGAAUCUUCCGCAAUGGGCGAAAGCCUGACGGAGCAACGCCGCGUGAGUGAUGAAGGUCUUCGGAUCGUAAAACUCUGUUAUUAGGGAAGAACAUAUGUGUAAGUAACUGUGCACAUCUUGACGGUACCUAAUCAGAAAGCCACGGCUAACUACGUGCCAGCAGCCGCGGUAAUACGUAGGUGGCAAGCGUUAUCCGGAAUUAUUGGGCGUAAAGCGCGCGUAGGCGGUUUUUUAAGUCUGAUGUGAAAGCCCACGGCUCAACCGUGGAGGGUCAUUGGAAACUGGAAAACUUGAGUGCAGAAGAGGAAAGUGGAAUUCCAUGUGUAGCGGUGAAAUGCGCAGAGAUAUGGAGGAACACCAGUGGCGAAGGCGACUUUCUGGUCUGUAACUGACGCUGAUGUGCGAAAGCGUGGGGAUCAAACAGGAUUAGAUACCCUGGUAGUCCACGCCGUAAACGAUGAGUGCUAAGUGUUAGGGGGUUUCCGCCCCUUAGUGCUGCAGCUAACGCAUUAAGCACUCCGCCUGGGGAGUACGACCGCAAGGUUGAAACCCAAAGGAAUUGACGGGGACCCGCACAAGCGGUGGAGCAUGUGGUUUAAUUCGAAGCAACGCGAAGAACCUUACCAAAUCUUGACAUCCUUUGACAACUCUAGAGAUAGAGCCUUCCCCUUCGGGGGACAAAGUGACAGGUGGUGCAUGGUUGUCGUCAGCUCGUGUCGUGAGAUGUUGGGUUAAGUCCCGCAACGAGCGCAACCCUUAAGCUUAGUUGCCAUCAUUAAGUUGGGCACUCUAAGUUGACUGCCGGUGACAAACCGGAGGAAGGUGGGGAUGACGUCAAAUCAUCAUGCCCCUUAUGAUUUGGGCUACACACGUGCUACAAUGGACAAUACAAAGGGCAGCGAAACCGCGAGGUCAAGCAAAUCCCAUAAAGCUGUUCUCAGUUCGGAUUGUAGUCUGCAACUCGACUACAUGAAGCUGGAAUCGCUAGUAAUCGUAGAUCAGCAUGCUACGGUGAAUACGUUCCCGGGUCU
rnacentral:rRNA from 1 species